AAAGUAUGUGCAAUUAUAUGAAUUAAUUGCUCCAUUAUGUGAUUACGAUGAAAGUUUCUAUUAUUAGGAUCCAUGCGAAAUUUCAAGGAUUAUUUGUGAUAUUGAGAAUUGUUUGUGAGGGGUCUUGGACCGGGUUGAAGGGGUCUUGAUCGUGUACAUAUAGUAAACUGAGUGGCCUUGAUCGUGUUCUAAAAUUGAUUAUCCUCUUGAGACCGGCUUUCAUUCACGGAGAGGGCCAAAGGCGCGUGACGAAAGUUCUUAACCCAAGGAGUGGAUUAAAAAUUUUAGGCAGGUGGUACAUUUUUUGUGAAUUUUUCAGUACAUUUAAUGUGAUGAGAAUAUAACAUGAUUACUAGCUUAUGUUUAUUUCAUGACUUGAGAUGAUAUUUCACCACGUUGUGUGAAUGUUUUACGUUUUGGUUA